rnacentral:rRNA from 2 species
GGCCCUUACGACCAGGGCUACACACGUGCUACAAUGGCAUAUACAAAGAGAAGCGACCUCGCGAGAGCAAGCGGACCUCAUAAAGUAUGUCGUAGUCCGGAUUGGAGUCUGCAACUCGACUCCAUGAAGUCGGAAUCGCUAGUAAUCGUAGAUCAGAAUGCUACGGUGAAUACGUUCCCGGGCCUUGUACACACCGCCCGUCACACCAUGGGAGUGGGUUGCAAAAGAAGUAGGUAGCUUAACCUUCGGGAGGGCGCUUACCACUUUGUGAUUCAUGACUGGGGUGAAGUCGUAACAAGGUAACCGUAGGGGAACCUGCGGUUGGAUCACCUCCUU